UAAAGACAGAAUUGAGAAAAAACUAUUUUAAAAAGAUGUUUUUUGCUGCUUUUUCCAGAUCUGAGGCUGAGAGGAAGAGAGUUCCAGAGAGACCUUAAGUCACCUUUACUUUUUAACUGAGUUCUUUAACAACCAGCAGGUCACAUGACCUCAGGGACCUGCUGGGAUUGGACGGCUGCACCAGGUCCUUUAUGUAGACCGGUUCUUGGUUAUUAAAAGCUCAGUAAGUUAAAACCAGGAUUUUAAACUGCUCUGUAGCGGAUGGGGAGCCAGAGCAGCUGGAAUAACAACAUGAAACUGCUCCGCGCUUCUGUUGCUGGACUGAACCGCAGCCUUCAACACGGUCGACCAUCACGUCCUCCUGGAGAAACUGGACUGGAGUAUCCGGAUCCGCUUAAACUGGUUCACUGCAGGAUCCUUUUCCGAGAUAACCACGACCUGAAGAUCUGAAUCCAGCAGAACAACAAAGUCCUUUUGGAGCAGCAGACAGGUGCAGAUAAAGCAGAUGAUGUCAUUUUUACAUCGGAUGUGGCUCCGCCUACUGACCACCGUCUGGCGCCGCAUUGGAGAGACGGCUAUGGUUCAUUUAAAUAAAGGUUUUUGUCCCUCACAGACGUUUGCUUCGUCCUCUGAAUUCACCGCAGUUCUUCCUGUCUCAAACAUCAUCUAAAGAUUACCGUCAAUCCACCAGGAUCAGAUCAAGACACAGACUGCACUGAUGCUAGCUGACCCACAACAAGUCACCUGGAUAUCUAACCUUAAAGAUGAAAGAGAUGGAUGAGAAUAAACUUUAGAAAUCUCAGAUUGAAACAGAAAUCUCUGCUGCUGUGAUGUGACGUCAUCUGUGCACAGAACUCAAACAAACUAAAACGGACCAAUGAGCUUCUGCUCUGAAACACUGAAACAGUCCAAUCAGAUCCAGCCCUGAGAUCUUUCUGGUUAAAGAAACGAUUGUCUUCAGAUCCUCUGUGAUGUCAGGACUUAAUGUCUUCCUUUAAAAAAUGCAGCAGGGAUGAAAUAUUCAUCCUGGACUUCCUCUUAUGAUGAUGCUGCGUGUUUGUGAGCCGCC